GAGGGUGUAGCUCAGUGGUAGAGUGCGUGCUCUGCAUGCACGAGGCACUGGGUUUAAUUUCCAAUACCUCCA
rnacentral:tRNA from 1 species